rnacentral:rRNA from 1 species
UGCAAGUCGAACGAUGAAGCCGGAGCUUGCUCUGGUGGAUUAGUGGCGAACGGGUGAGUAACACGUGAGUAACCUGCCCCUGACUCUGGGAUAAGCGCUGGAAACGGCGUCUAAUACCGGAUAUGCGCUGUAACCGCAUGGUUUGCAGCGGGAAAGAUUUAUCGGUUGGGGAUGGACUCGCGGCCUAUCAGCUUGUUGGUGAGGUAAUGGCUCACCAAGGCGUCGACGGGUAGCCGGCCUGAGAGGGUGACCGGCCACACUGGGACUGAGACACGGCCCAGACUCCUACGGGAGGCAGCAGUGGGGAAUAUUGCACAAUGGGCGCAAGCCUGAUGCAGCAACGCCGCGUGAGGGAUGACGGCCUUCGGGUUGUAAACCUCUUUUAGCAGGGAAGAAGCCUUCGGGUGACGGUACCUGCAGAAAAAGCGCCGGCUAACUACGUGCCAGCAGCCGCGGUAAUACGUAGGGCGCAAGCGUUAUCCGGAAUUAUUGGGCGUAAAGAGCUCGUAGGCGGUUUGUCACGUCUGCUGUGAAAACUGGAGGCUCAACCUCCAGCCUGCAGUGGGUACGGGCAGACUAGAGUGCGGUAGGGGAGAUUGGAAUUCCUGGUGUAGCGGUGGAAUGCGCAGAUAUCAGGAGGAACACCGAUGGCGAAGGCAGAUCUCUGGGCCGUUACUGACGCUGAGGAG